UACGGGAGGCAGCAGUGGGGAAUAUUGCACAAUGGGCGCAAGCCUGAUGCAGCCAUGCCGCGUGUAUGAAGAAGGCCUUCGGGUUGUAAAGUACUUUCAGUCGUGAGGAAGGUGUUAAGGUUAAUAACCUUAGCAAUUGACGUUAGCGACAGAAGAAGCACCGGCUAACUCCGUGCCAGCAGCCGCGGUAAUACGGAGGGUGCGAGCGUUAAUCGGAAUUACUGGGCGUAAAGGGCACGCAGGCGGUUAAUUAAGUUGGAUGUGAAAUCCCCGGGCUUAACCUGGGAAUGGCAUUCAAGACUGGUUAGCUAGAGUCUUGUAGAGGGGGGUAGAAUUCCAUGUGUAGCGGUGAAAUGCGUAGAGAUGUGGAGGAAUACCGGUGGCGAAGGCGGCCCCUGGACAAAGGACUGACGCUCAUGUGCGAAAGCGUGGGGAGCGAAACAGGGAUUAGAUACCC
rnacentral:rRNA from 1 species